rnacentral:tRNA from 1 species
GGAAGUAGCUCAGUGGUAGAGCUCUUGCCUAGCAUGCCAGAGGCCCUGGGUUCAACUCCCAGCACUGCCA